GACGAACGCUGGCGGCGUGCCUAAUACAUGCAAGUCGAGCGCAGGAAACUGACGGAACUCUUCGGAGGGAAGGCAGUGGAAUGAGCGGCGGACGGGUGAGUAACACGUAAGGAACCUGCCUCAAGGAUUGGGAUAACUCCGAGAAAUCGGAGCUAAUACCGGAUAGUUCAACGGACCGCAUGGUCCGCUGAUGAAAGGCGCUCCGGCGUCACCUUGAGAUGGCCUUGCGGUGCAUUAGCUAGUUGGUGGGGUAACGGCCCACCAAGGCGACGGAGCAUAGCCGACCUGAGAGGGUGAUCGGCCACACUGGGACUGAGACACGGCCCAGACUCCUACGGGAGGCAGCAGUAGGGAAUCUUCCACAAUGGACGAAAGUCUGAUGGAGCAACGCCGCGUGAGUGAUGAAGGUUUUCGGAUCGUAAAACUCUGUUGUAAGGGAAGAACACGUACGAGAGGGAAUGCUCGUACCUUGACGGUACCUUACGAGAAAGCCACGGCUAACUACGUGCCAGCCGCCGCGGUAAUAC
rnacentral:rRNA from 1 species